rnacentral:rRNA from 1 species
CUUAGUGGCGGACGGGUGAGUAACGCGUGGGUAACCUGCCCCAUACCGGGGAAUACCACCUGGAAACAGGUGCUAAUACCGCAUAAGCGCACGGGAGCGCAUGCUCCUGUGUGAAAAACUCCGGUGGUAUGGGAUGGACCCGCGUCUGAUUAGCCAGUUGGCAGGGUAACGGCCUACCAAAGCGACGAUCAGUAGCCGGCCUGAGAGGGUGGACGGCCACAUUGGGACUGAGACACGGCCCAAACUCCUACGGAAGGCAGCAG